CAGUAGCCACGGGAAUACGGAGGAUCCAAGCGUUAUCCGGAAUCAUUGGGUUUAAAGGGUCCGUAGGCGGUCUUGUAAGUCAGUGGUGAAAGCCCAUCGCUCAACGGUGGAACGGCCAUUGAUACUGCAGGACUUGAAUUAUUGGGAAGUAACUAGAAUAUGUAGUGUAGCGGUGAAAUGCUUAGAGAUUACAUGGAAUACCAAUUGCGAAGGCAGGUUACUACCAAUUGAUUGACGCUGAUGGACGAAAGCGUGGGUAGCGAACAGGAUUAGAUACCCCUGUAGUCCCUGUCUCUUAUAU
rnacentral:rRNA from 1 species